UUGUAUUUUAAUUAGAGUCGGGGUUUCACCAUGUUGCGUAGGCUGCUCUUGAACUCCUGACCUACUUUUGUCGGUUGUUUUCGUAUCAGAUAUACCCAGGGAUAGAGGUAUUACUCUGUUUUCUUCUAACAACAAGAAGUGAAGAUAAUGGGUGCCUAAUAAAUGCAAAUAUAAGGUCAUUUCUGUAGCACAGAAAAAUCUUUUGUGUUUAUCAACAUUCAUGAUUUUUCUUGUUACCUAUGUAUUAUAACUACUUUACUAUAUACACAGAUAUAUUGUCAAUCACAUCUAUAUGAAUUGUGGAUAUGACUUACUUGAUUAUUCUACCUUAAUUUAUAAGGAAUGACUAUCUCAGGAAGCAUGACUAGAAAGCAGAUGUAGUUGAAGUCAAUGUUUUCUCUGACUUCAGUUUGAAAUGGAACAUCAAGAAGUAUGUAUUAAACAUCUGCUAUGUGAUAGGCACUGUACUAAUUGAUAUUUUAUUUCUAUGGAUAGUGGCCUUUCCAGGGGUAUUCCUGUGGGAGGGGAGGGGGAUAAGGAAGGGAAGAGGCUCAAAUGAUUCUACCUGCUGUUCCCAUGGUUAUUGGUCUGGUUAUCCAGCACACUGGUGAAAAGGUGGAGGUCUUGCUCAUAUUUGUGGUACAGUUUUUUUGGCUUUUCUGUCUUGCUUCUCUAGAGUAUCUCUGUUAGGGCACUUGUUAACUAAAUAUUUCACAUCUGGUCUUCUGAACGUCUUCAGUCUUUGGUGUUUACAGUACUUCUUAUGAAGUUAUAAAUUUUACUUUCUUUGCAGGUGUCAUUUAUGCAAUAUGUUUUGGACUCAAUUUUUUUUAAAACUUACAAACUUCCAAUAAUCCAACGAAAGUGCCAGAAUAAGGCCAUUUCUGGUAAAUUGAAGAGCUUCCUGGUAUUUCAAGCAAUCCAGGUAAGAGACACAGAAAACUGUAAAUGAUGCAAAAACAGCUGAACUGAAUAUGAGAGAUGUUCAAGAGUUAUGACCUGAGAAGAUGUCCCCGCCAUCAAUAGACAUUGCAGGAUGUGAUACCACUCUGGAGGACUUUGAAGUUUCUGGAUUUGGUUGAAGAAAGAUGCUUUGGACAUUUUGAAUUUGAGAUGCUUCUCCAGAAGUCUUAUGGAUCUGAAGCAUGGGAGAGGAGUAUAAGCUGGGGAAAUAAGUUUGGGGGUUACCAGAAAACUAGCAGUGGGUAAGGCCAUGAGCAAAUGAAAUCAAAUAGAGGAUGAAGAGAACAGGAGCCCUAGCAAACCUUGACAGUUAAAGAGUAUGCAGGGAAAAGGACUUAGAAAGGACCCUGUAAAGAAAGAUCCAAGAUGACCUGAAGAACUGAGAGAGCCUCUCUGUUAUUUAGGGUGACAUAAAUAGCGUCUGGAAGCAGGACCUGAAGUAGGAUCAGUUUUGGACAGAGCUGGCAAUUCUUGGUACCAGUAUGCAGCACUUACAGGAGCCCUUUGAGCUCUCCACUUUCACGGCUCGCCUCUUCUGCCCUGGUGCCAGGAUCUAUUUUUGUCAUCACCAGCCAGGAAGGAUACAAGGCCUCUUCCAAGAUGAAGACGAAACUAUUGACAGAUAUUUUGUCAAGACCAAAUUUUCCCUAAGGGCCCUGUCAUAGAUUGUUCCCUGGGCAGGAUGCAGCCUCCUUCAGAGAGUGAAGAACACACCAAAAGAUCCUCUACUAAAUUAAUCAUAAGCCACAUGAGGCAGGCUGGAAUACAGUUACCAAUCUGCUUUAAUUCUCCCACUUAGAUGGCCUGAAGCCGCCUGAACUGAAAGUUGGAUGAAGCUCGGCUUUGAGUUUCAUCGCGGGGCAUCGUGUGGCCUAAGUCCUUAGCCAAUGCCUGCCAAAUAUUAGCUUGAGUCGCAAUAAAGAGAAAAGGUCCAAAUUCUC
rnacentral:lncRNA from 1 species